GACAAGGUGGCCGAGUGGUUAAGGCGAUGGACUGCUAAUCCAUUGCGGUCUCCGCGCGCAGGUUCGAAUCCUGCCCUUGUCG